UACGUAGGGUGCAAGCGUUAAUCGGAAUUACUGGGCGUAAAGCGUGCGCAGGCGGUUUUGUAAGACAGAUGUGAAAUGCCCGGGCUUAACCUGGGAACUGCAUUUGUGACUGCAUGGCUAGAGUGUGUCAGAGGGGGGUAGAAUUCCACGUGUAGCAGUGAAAUGCGUAGAUAUGUGGAGGAAUACCGAUGGCGAAGGCAGCCCCCUGGGAUAACACUGACGCUCAUGCACGAAAGCGUGGGGAGCAAACAGG
rnacentral:rRNA from 1 species